GAGAGAGAGAGAGAGAGAGAGAGAGAGAGAGAGAGAGAUGUCUGGGUGAAUGUUGCUGAUAGCAGAGCUGAGUGAAAGGACCUCAGACGCAUUAGAAAACUGAGACAAGAAUGGACCAAUCAAAGCCACACGUAGAUGUGUUCCACUACAGGAACAAGGAACAGUCCUCCUACCUCCUACUGCAGCUGAACCGUCUGAGACAGAACAGGAUCCUUACCGACGUGCUACUCUGUUCAGAUAACUCAGAGAUCCCCUGUCACCGUAACAUCCUGGCCUCCAGCAGUCCUUACUUCACGGCCAUGUUCUGUCACCACUUCAGAGAGACGAACCAGGAGAAGGUGGAUCUGAAGGCGAUCACCUCCAGCAUCCUGAGUGACAUCGUCGACUACGUCUACACAGGGGUCAUAACCAUCACCAUGGAGAUAGUACUGCCCCUUAUGCAGGCUUCCUCCAUGCUCCAGUACACCAGGCUGUUCGAGGCCUGCUCCUCAUUCCUGCAGGAGCAGCUGAGCCCAGACAACUGCCUCAGCAUGAAGCGACUGGCAGAGAUAUUACACUGCAACAGCCUGAAGGAGAAGGCCAGGGAGAUGGCAGUACAGAGCUUCUCUGACGUCUCUACCUCUGAGGACCUGUGUGAGCUCUCCUUACCUGAGCUGAUGGGUUACCUGGAGGAUGACUGGCUCUGUGCUAAGGAGGAGCAGGUGUUCGAGACGUUACUGGCGUGGAUCCACCACGACCCGUUCUCCCGGCGCGGCGCCAUCUCCGACCUCUUCAGGAAGGUGCGUCUGCGCUACAUCCACCCCACCUACCUGUUCCAGUUCAUCGCCAGCGACCCUCUCGUCCAGUCCUCCACCCUGUGCACCGAGGUCAUCGAGUCCGUCCGACGCCUCAUGUUCUCCAUCACUACUAAGUGUGGGUCGGACCUCAAGCCCCUGUGGGUGACCCCGCGGCGGUUCACCUGCCGGGAGACCCUGGUUCUAGUUGGCGGCCGCAAAAACAACGAACAGACGUCCCGCGAAGCACUCCUGUUCGACGAGAGGACUCAGCGCUGGCAGUGGCUGGCCAAGCUGCCCUUGCGACUCUAUAAGGCCUCCUACGUCUGUAUCCACAGUAUCCUGUAUGUCCUGGGAGGCCUCACCAUGAACACCAAGCACAGAGUGGUUAGCACCACUGUCUAUACGUUAUCUUUAAAGAUCAACCAGUGGAGGACGACUGAGCCCAUGAUCCAGCCUCGCUUCUCCCACCAGUCUGUCUCCUACCUGCACUUUAUCUUCGUCCUGGGGGGCCUGGGGCCGGAGAAGCAGGUGUGUGACACGGUACAAAGGUACAAUAGUAUGUUCAACCAAUGGGAGGCUAUGGUUCCCAUGCCGACGGCUGUGCUACACCCGGCGGUUGCCGCUAACGAUCAAAGAAUCUACAUGUUCGGGGGAGAGGACGCGAUGCAGAACCCUGUCAGGAUGAUACAGGUGUAUCACAUUGGCAGGAAUAUGUGGUCUAUGAUGGAGACCAGGACAGUGAAGAACGUUUCUGCACCAGCAGCUGUCAUCGAUGACAAGAUCUACAUUAUCGGAGGUAGGUGAAGACUGGGUCUGUCGAUGACAAGAUCUACAUUAUCGGAGGUAGGUGAAGACUGAGUCUGUCGAUGACAAGAUCUACAUUAUCGGAGGUAGGUGAAGACUGGGUCUGUCGAUGACAAGAUCUACAUUAUCGGAGGUAGGUGAAGACUGGGUCUGUCGAUGACAAGAUCUACAUUAUCGGAGGUAGGUGAAGACUGGGUCUGUCGAUGACAAGAUCUACAUUAUCGGAGGUAGGUGAAGACUGGGUCUGUCGAUGACAAGAUCUACAUUAUCGGAGGUAGGUAAAGACUGGGUCUGUCGAUGACAAGAUCUACAUUAUCGAAGGUAGGUGAAGACUGGGUCUGUCGAUGACAAGAUCUACAUUAUCGGAGGUAGGUGAAGACAGGGUCUGUCGAUGACAAGAUCUACAUUAUCGGAGGUAGGUGAAGACUGGGUCUGUCGAUGACAAGAUCUACAUUAUCGGAGGUAGGGGAAGACAGGGUCUGUCGAUGACAAGAUCUACAUUAUCGGAGGUAGGUGAAGACUGGGUCUGUCGAUGACAAGAUCUACAUUAUCGGAGGUAGGUGAAGACUGGGUCUGUCGAUGACAAGAUCUACAUUAUCGGAGGUAGGUGAAGACUGGGUAUGUCGAUGACAAGAGCUACAUUAUCGGAGGUAGGCGAAGACUGGGUCUGUCGAUGACAAGAUCUACAUUAUCUGAGGUAGGUGAAGACUGGGUAUGUCGAUGACAAGAUCUACAUUAUCGGAGGUAGGUGAAGACUGGGUCUGUCGAUGACAAGAUCUACAUUAUCGGAGGUAGGUGAAGACUGGGUCUGUCGAUGACAAGAGCUACAUUAUCGGAGGUAGGUGAAGACUGGGUCUGUCGAUGACAAGAUCUACAUUAUCGGAGGUAGGUGAAGACUGGGUAUGUCGAUGACAAGAUCUACAUUAUCGGAGGCUACACCAGAAGAAUGAUCGCGUACGACACCAAAGCCAACCGCUUUACAAAGUGUGAGAACCUGAAGCAGAGGAGGAUGCAUCACGCCGUCACGGUGCUCGACGAC